AUGGCGACACCCAAGUGCCGUCCCGUCCUCGGCUUGCUGCUCCUAGCCGUAUCCAGCUGCCUUCCGCUUGCCGUCACCUCGCUUAGCUUCGACUACAACUUCUCUGCCCCCGGCGUCCUCGCCAGCGCCGACCUCAAGUACAUGAACGACUCCGCCCCGGUCCUCGACCGGAUCGACCUCACCAACCUCUCUAGGAGCUGGAGCACCGGCCGCGUCGCCCACGGGCAGGCCGUGCGCCUCUGGGAUGACGGCACCGGCAAGGCCGCCAGCUUCACCACCAACUUCACUUUCGCCGUCAAGUCUCUCAACGUGACCACCAGCCAGGCAAGCACAAGAAAUUCUCUGAAAUAUAAUUUCGUCCGUGUGACUUCUUCUAACGCUCUUAUAUAUUAUGAGACGGAGGAAGUACUAAUUAAGUACAAUCUGCAGGGUGAUGGCAUGGCCUUCUUCGUGGGACCUUACCCGCCGAGCAUGCCGACGGACGCCACCGGCGGCUUCCUGGCGCUGUUCAACAACCGCGGCAACCCGGCCAACACCUACUUCCCGCCGACCGUCGGCGUGGAGUUUGACACGUUCAGGAACGUCGAGUGGGACCCCGAUGACGCCGUCAACCAUCUCGGCCUCAACGUCAACAGCAUCAGCUCCAAGGAGUACACGCCGCUGCCGGAUGGGAGCUUCAAUGGGGCCAUGUCGGCGUCGGUCACGUACGACGCCGGCACGGCCACGCUCUCGGCGACCCUGCGGUUAGACGACAUGCCGGAGCUGAGUUCUUACACCGUCAGCGCAAAAGUCGACUGGCGGGCCGCCGGCCUGACGCAGGACGCAGCUGUAGGAUUCUCGGCGGCCAUCGGGGACUACGUCGAGCAGCACCAGAUUUUUUCUUGGUCGUUCGAGUCCACUCUGACCGAUGACAUAAUAACUUCAAAGAGGAAAAAAACUGGUCUAGUAGCCGGGCUGGUAUCAACCGGCAUCUUCAUAUUUGUCGCCGUAGCGGCAUGGCUCGGUUACCUCCAAUAUCUGAAAAGCAAGAGCACUCACACUCAAGACACAGCUGAAGAUUCAGAUGCCCCGCUUGACCAAGACAUGGACGACGUAUUUGAGAACGGAGCGGGGCCUCGGAGAUUCAGUUACGACGAGCUGUCCCGGGCAACCCGGGGAUUCUCCGACGAGGAGAAGCUCGGCGAGGGCGGGUUUGGGGCAGUCUACCGAGGGUACCUACAGGAGCAAGGGCUUCAUGUGGCCAUCAAGAGGAUCUCCAAGACGUCAAGGCAGGGGAGAAGGGAGUACGUCGCGGAGGUGACCAUCAUCGGCCGGUUGCGGCAUCGCAACCUAGUCCUGCUCGUCGGAUGGUGCCACAAAGCCGACGAGCUCCUGCUCGUCUAUGAGCUCAUGACCAACGGAAGCCUGGACGAGCAUCUCUACAAUUCCACGAGCAUCCUGACAUGGCCAACCAGGUACAAGAUCAUUCUUGGGACGGGGUCUGCGCUGCUCUACCUUCACCAGGAGUGGGAGCAGUGCGUGGUACACAGAGACAUCAAGCCGAGCAACAUCAUGCUCGACGCCUCCUUCAACCCCAAGCUGGGUGACUUCGGGCUCGCGCGCCUCGUCGACCACAGCCGCGGCGGGUACACGACGAUGCUGGCUGGCACCAAGGGUUACAUGGACCCGGAGUGCGCGGUGACUAGCAGGGCUAGCACGGAGACCGACGUCUACAGCUUUGGUGUCGUCCUCCUCGAGGUAGCCUGCGGCCGGCGGCCCAUCGCCCUGCUACUGGAGGAUGAGGACAGGGUCGUGCUCGUACAAUGGAUCCAGAAGCUGUACGGGGGAGGCACGCUCCUCGACGCGGCGGACGCACGGCUCGACGGCAACUUCGACGCGCGGGAGAUGGAACGCGUGCUGGUGGUGGGACUCUGGUGCGUGCACCCGGACUAUGGUUUCCGUCCGUCCAUCCGACAAGCCAUGAGCGCGCUCCACUUCGAGACCCCAUCUCCGGACCUGCCGCCGGAGAUGCCGGUGGCGAUGUACGCGCCGCCGCUCGGAGGGUACAGAUCGAGCUACGCAUCGUCGAAUGGGAGUUCCAGCACCGGCAACCGCUCGUCGAUAAGUGACCGGGCGGCGGAGAGUCGUUCUUUUGCCAGUGCCGAUAUGAACAGCCGCAGGAGGCCUACCGCGACACCCACGAAUCAGGCACCGGGGACUGAGCAUGUCCAGUCCACGAACGACUCUUCCUAG
rnacentral:rRNA from 1 species